rnacentral:rRNA from 1 species
UACGGAGGAUGCGAGCGUUAUCCGGAUUUAUUGGGUUUAAAGGGUGCGUAGGCGGGAUGCCAAGUCAGCGGUAAAAAUGCGGUGCUCAACGCCGUCGAGCCGUUGAAACUGGCGUUCUUGAGUGGGCGAGAAGUAUGCGGAAUGCGUGGUGUAGCGGUGAAAUGCAUAGAUAUCACGCAGAACUCCGAUUGCGAAGGCAGCAUACCGGGGCCCUACUGACGCUGAGGCACGAAAGCGUGGGUAUCGAACAGG